ACACGCAUUGUGCGGAUUUGAAUGAAAAUGUCAUUUUCGAAGAGGGAUUUCUAAAACCCUCUUUCGAAUUCCAUUUCCCCCUCUCUUGCUCUCAUUUUCGGAUUCAGGAAACCCUAAAAUCUGAUCUCCAUUUCGGGCGAGAUUCCGUUUCUAUCGGCUGCUCGUUUCGGAGGUUUUUGUUUCUCAGAUUUCGCAUCGGAAGGGAUUAGCUGAUUGGUGAUAGUUUUUGCUUACUUUGGUGAACCUAGAAAGCUUCCAUGUCCAAUUCCCCUUCGUCUUUGUUAAACUUAGAAAGCUUAAUGAACGUACCCUCAUUGGAUCAGCCAAUCUUCAGCACUUGAAGUAUUCUGUUAAAGAGUCCUGGAAGAUUGGGAAUGGCUACCCUUGCUGAUUCUUUCUUGGCGGACCUUGAUGAUUUAUCUGAUAAUGAAGCCACUCUUCUUGAUGAUGAUGGUGAGGAUGCAGGAGAUGUGGAGGAAGAUGCUGACGGCGACAUGGCUGACAUUGAAACUCUCAAUUAUGAUGAUCUGGAUAGUGUUUCAAAACUGCAGAAAACACAACGUUAUAUUGACAUCAUGCAGAAAGUCGAAGAUGCACUUCAAAAGGGAUCAGAUAUCUCAAGCCAUGGAAUGGUUUUGGAGGAUGAUCCUGAAUAUCAGCUUAUAGUUGAUUGCAAUGCUUUGUCAGUUGACAUUGAGAACGAAAUUAUUAUUAUCCACAAUUUUAUUCGUGACAAUUAUCGCUUGAAGUUUCCUGAGCUUGAAUCCCUCGUACACCACCCAAUUGAUUAUGCCCGAGUUGUGAAGAAAAUUGGAAAUGAAAUGGAUCUAACUCUGGUUGAUCUGGAAGGCCUUUUACCCUCAGCUAUUAUUAUGGUUGUUUCCGUCACAGCCUCAACUACCAGUGGAAAGCCACUGCCAGAAGAGAACCUUAAAAAGACAAUUGAUGCAUGUGACCGAGCUCUUGCACUUGAUUUAGCGAAGAAGAAGGUUCUUGACUUUGUAGAGAGUAGAAUGGGAUAUAUUGCACCAAACCUUUCUGCUAUUGUUGGGAGUGCAGUCGCAGCAAAGCUAAUGGGGACAGCUGGCGGUCUUUCUGCACUGGCUAAGAUGCCGGCGUGUAAUGUUCAGCUUCUUGGUGCAAAGAAAAAGAACCUGGCUGGGUUCUCUACAGCAACCUCUCAGUUUCGAGUGGGCUAUGUUGAGCAAACUGAGAUCUUCCAGAGCACGCCUCCUUCUUUGAGGAUGCGAGCAUGCCGGUUAUUAGCUGCAAAAUCAACACUUGCAGCACGAGUAGAUUCAACAAGAGGAGAUCCAACAGGGAAGACUGGGAGAGACUUACGAGAGGAGAUCCGGAAAAAGAUUGAGAAAUGGCAAGAGCCACCUCCCGCAAAGCUUCCAAAACCUCUUCCAGUUCCUGAUUCUGAACCUAAAAAGAAGAGAGGAGGUCGUCGGUUGCGGAAGAUGAAGGAAAGGUAUGCAAUAACAGAUAUGAGGAAGCUGGCCAAUAGGAUGCAGUUUGGUGUACUAGAAGAGAGCUCCUUAGGGGAUGGACUGGGCGAAGGGUACGGCAUGCUUGGUCAAGCUGGAAAUGGGAAGUUGCGUGUAUCAGUUGGCCAGGGCAAACUUGCUGCAAAAGUUGCUAAAAAGUUCAAGGAAAAGAACUAUGGAAGCAGUGGUGCCACCUCAGGAUUGACUUCAAGUCUGGCAUUUACACCCGUGCAGGGAAUUGAGCUCACAAAUCCACAGGCUCACGUGAAUCAGCUAGGCAGUGGUACUCAAAGUACCUAUUUCUCAGAAAUAGGAACGUUCUCAAAGAUCAAGAGGACUUGAAAUUCCCUUAGCUCUCUCCUUUUCUUACAGUCCAGUUGGUUUUGCAACUAUUCUUCUAGUGUUUCGAGGAAACUGCUCCUGAAGUAAUGUCGAUAUGGUUUGGGCUAUCCAGAUGGGUAUUGGCGGAGCAGUCCAAAAUCGGUUGCUUCAAAUAUGAGAGAUUCUCCCUUAAGGACCUAUUUGGAUGACGCCAAAAAAUCACAACUUACCUUUACACAGAUGGUUACCAAGCACAACCACAGUCAUAUCAGUCAAUGUUUGUAUGGUUUACAAUUUUAGCAGAAAGGCGGCUAAGUUUGGAUUCGAAGGAAUGUGUCCCACACAUGAAGACGGGAGGAGCUUAAUUUAUGCAUAUGGUAUGGUCACAGUAAGACCCAUCUAAUGGAUGGUUUGGAUCACUCCCGCUUGCCUUUGGUGGCACUAACGUGAACUGUCAAAAUUGCCAAGCGCAUCUCCACUCCAUUAUCCCUGUGAAUAUGGGUUGUUGGAACGGGAGCUUGUCAGCCAUUUCCAGAAAUGAGAGUUGUCAUCCAAGUGGGCCCUGAAUCAUAUCCAGAAAGUGUAUAUUCUCCCAAUUAACAAGAAUAUCUAGAUCAGCUAUGUGUGCAUUUGAGAUGCCCUGAAAUAGCUCGGAUUUGUAAAGAGAUCAGGUCUUUUGCAUCUAGUGCACAAGAAACGUUAUUCUUCCC